AUACGGGGGGAGCAAGCGUUGUUCGGAUUUACUGGGCGUAAAGGGCGCGUAGGCGGCGUGACAAGUCACUUGUGAAAUCUCCGGGCUUAACUCGGAACGGUCAAGUGAUACUGUCGUGCUAGAGUACAGAAGGGGCAACUGGAAUUCUCGGUGUAGCGGUGAAAUGCGUAGAUAUCGUAAGGAAGACCAGUGGCGAAGGCGGGUCUCUGGACAGUUCCUGACGCUGAGGCACGAAGGUCAGGGGAGCAAACGGGAUUAGAUACCCCGGUAGUCCUGACAGUAAACGGUGCACGUUUGGUGUGGGAGGAUUCGACCCCUUCUGCGCCGGAGCUAACGCGUUAAACGUGCCGCCUGGGGAGUACGGUCGCAAGACUGAAACUCAAAGGAAUUGGCGGGG
rnacentral:rRNA from 1 species